ACGGAUCGACACCAGAAAGAUCCAACUGAUUUCUCUUACAUGGAUCCAUUAAAACGUCACAAAAAAAUCGCACAGAGAAGAAUCGCCUCCUUAAGUUUUUGUUUCAGUCCAAACUAUACAAAAGAGUCAGAAGCAGAGAAAAAGCAGAAAUUCAAUGAAUGAGAAGAUGUCGUGAAGAUUCACAAGAUGAAGCAUUUCAAACAAAAGGCAAAGAUGUGCAGAAAUUAAAGGAUGUUAAGCAAGUAAUCUCAAGGCUAGUCCUCUUAUUGAAUCAAAGCUCAAAACAUUAAAGAAGCACUAUGAUGCAAUGACAUAUAUGAAAGAUGCAUUUGGUAUAGAGUGGAGAGGUACAUAGUGCACAUUAAUAUGCUAUGAUGAUGCUGUAUGGGAUGAGUGGGUGAAGGUAACCACAUCAAACAGAAGAGUGUUGAGGGCUUGAGAAAUAAUUCAUUUCCUUAUUAUGAUGAGUUGUGCCUGAUAUUUGGAAAGAGCAGAGGCAAUCAGAAGAGUGUUGAAGAUGCAUCAGAUGCUAACAGAGCCCUGGACGUGUAUGAGACUAGUGAAAAAAACCAUUAUAUUGGAAUUUGAUUGUUAUGUUUUUGUUUAUUCUAGAAUUUGAACAAGUAAUGUUAUGUU